CACCCAGACUCCUACGGGAGGCAGCAGUGGGGGAUAUUGCACAAUGGGGGAAACCCUGAUGCAGCGACGCCGCGUGGGCGAAGAAGUAUUUCGGUAUGUAAAGCCCUAUCAGCAGGGAAGAAGAAAUGACGGUACCUGAGUAAGAAGCACCGGCUAAAUACGUGCCAGCAGCCGCGGUAAUACGUAUGGUGCAAGCGUUAUCCGGAUUUACUGGGUGUAAAGGGAGCGCAGGCGGCACGGCAAGCCUGGAGUGAAAGCCCGGGGCCCAACCCCGGGACUGCUCUUGGAACUGCGUGGCUGGAGUGCAGGAGGGGCAGGCGGAAUUCCUGGUGUAGCGGUGAAAUGCGUAGAUAUCAGGAGGAACACCGGUGGCGAAGGCGGCCUGCUGGACUGCAACUGACGUUGAGGCCCGAAAGCGUGGGGAGCAAACAGGAUUAGAUACCCCAGUACAG
rnacentral:rRNA from 1 species